CCGAACGGCACUGUCCUGUCCAUAAAUGCCACUGAUGAGGAAAGGAUUUACUACGAGUUUGGCCAGAAAUGGCACAUCAACCCAAAUGAGUCCUUAUUUUACUACUCACCUGGCACCGGACCAGCCAACUUCACAGAUUCAAAUUUCGUUCCGGUUUUCGGCACUGCCAUUCCCACUGGAAUCAACCAGACCACGGUCGACGAGGCCAAGCGUUUGUGCGGGGAUAGCAAACAGUGCAUUUUCGAUUUCCUUCGCACAAGGUCUUUAGACGUUGCUAAGGAUACAAAAGAGACACAACUCACUAACGAGGAACAGGAAAAGACAGUCGAAAACCGGGCACCUGUGAUUUCCGGGCCUUCAGUUAUCAACAUUAUAGCCAAUCAACAGAACGAAAUCUUCACAACUUUCGUAGACCCUGACGGGGACAAUUUAACGUUUGUUGAGACGGCCGUGUUAUCUCUGGGGGCGAACACUUCUAUCGUUAAUGAUACGGCACGGAAAAUCAC